GAGAGCCUAGUUAAUUUAUAACAUGAGAUUGUCAGCCUCAAAUUACUGCAUUUAGCAGUGGCCCUCA
rnacentral:tRNA from 1 species